rnacentral:rRNA from 1 species
GCUUAACACAUGCAAGUCGAACGAGAAAGCCCGCAAGGGUGAGUAAAGUGGCGUACGGGUGAGUAACACGUGGGUAAUCUACCUCUGGGUGGGGAAUAACCCUGGGAAACCGGGGCUAAUACCGCAUAAGCCUGGAAAGGGAAAGGCGAAAGUCGCCGAGAGAGGAGCCCGCGGCCGAUUAGCUAGUUGGUAGGGUAAAGGCCUACCAAGGCGAUGAUCGGUAGCCGGCCUGAGAGGGCACACGGCCACACUGGCACUGAAACACGGGCCAGACUCCUACGGGAGGCAGCAGUGGGGAAUCUUGCACAAUGGGGGCAACCCUGAUGCAGCGACGCCGCGUGAGCGAUGAAGCCCUUCGGGGUGUAAAGCUCUUUCGGCUGGAACGAUGAUGACGGUACCAGCAGAAGAAGCUGCGGCUAACUACGUGCCAGCAGCCGCGGUAAUACGUAGGCAGCGAGCGUUGUUCGGAGUUACUGGGCGUAAAGAGUGCGUAGGCGGUGACCUAAGUCUGGUGUGAAAUCUCCCGGCUCAACUGGGAGGGUGCGCCGGAAACUGGGUUGCUUGAGUGUGGGAGAGGCUAGCGGAAUUCCUGGUGUAGCGGUGAAAUGCGUAGAGAUCAGGAGGAACACCUGCGGUGUAGACGGCUGGCUGGACCACGACUGACGCUGAGGCACGAAAGCGUGGGGAGCAAACAGGAUUAGAUACCCUGGUAGUCCACGCCCUAAACGAUGCAUACUUGGUGUGGGUGAUUCAUUUCAUCCGUGCCGGAGCUAACGCGUUAAGUAUGCCGCCUGGGGAGUACGGUCGCAAGGCUGAAACUC